GGCCUCAGCCGCCUUCGCACCUAGCAGAGCCGGCGCCCGCGCGGUGUGCCCUUUGGUGGCGCUGCUGCCGGUACCGGGGGGCGGGCGGCGGAACGGGGCGGAGGGCUGCGGGACAUGGAGUCGCCGCUCGCGGACAGCCUUUGCUGGCGCCCCAGGUUAGAAGUGUGUCAUCGCCUCGGCCGUGGCUGUGGCCUGGGCAGCCACAGGACGCUCCACUGAGGGACACUCUCUGUCGCUGGCUGCAGCUACUUGGAAGAAGUUUAGGACUCGGCCGGUUUCCUGCGGUUGGCGGUGCCGGGGCCCACCUGGAGCCGGGACGCGUCCGGAGUCCUGGGUGCCCUGAGCCCCGCGCGGGCUCCUGCGAGAUGGGCUGCGUCGGCCCUGGCAGGGCGAGCCAAGCUCCCAGCGGUGCCAAGCUGCCCAGCGAGGCUCAGCAAUCGCGGGGCUUCAAGAAAGAACGCGCGCCUGUGUGGAAGUUUUAAAUCCCACGAAGUGCAGAGUGCAGGAUAUUUUCCUACAAAUUUACAUAGUGGGUGGGAUUUGAGUAAAUUAGAAUUGAAUUUAAAACUGGAAGUCACAUGGAAGAAGGCAGGACCACUGUUGUAAAUCCGAUGCUUCCCCCACCUGCACCUGAGUCUUAGGCCAAUUCCAGGUCUCUCGUCCUAAAAUGCUAAUUUCUGGAAGGAUGGCACAGUCUCUGCAGGAGAGAACGAAGGCUUCACUUAAACCUGAGAGACUAAAAAUACGGAUGCAAGCCCCCGACUAAUUGAAUAGAGUUUUUCUCAUGGAGGCCCAAGAAAGUGUAUUUUUAAAGAGGACCUUGAAUGAAUCUAAUGUGCCUUCAAGAGCUGAGAACUGUUAGAUUCCCUGCUCCUUCGUUCUUACAGAUACAGAUACUUUUCCUAGAAUUGAGUUCUCAGGCCUCCCUGAGACUUCCUGUGAUUCUGCGGCAGCAGAGAAGAGUGGUUAAAGAGCUGAGGCGCUCACGGGAUGGGCGCCAAUUCUUGCACGGACAGUCAGUGACUGUGUCGACUCUGUGCCUUAUUUUCUGGUCUAUAAAAUGGAAGUCUUAAUUGUACCUGCCUAAAUAAAGUUGGCAGGCACAUUGUAA